CCUACGGGGGGCUGCAGUGGGGGAUAUUGCACAAUGGGGGGAACCCUGAUGCAGCGACGCCGCGUGGGUGAAGAAGCGCCUCGGCGUGUAAAGCUCUGUCAGCAGGGAAGAAAAUGACGGUACCUGAACAAGAAGCCCCGGCCAAAUAGGUUCCAGCAGGCGCGGUAACACGGAGGGGGCCAGGGUUAUCCGGAUUUACGGGGUGUUAAGGGGGCGGAGGCGGCGUUGCGAGCCUGGAGUGAAAGCCCGGGGCCCAACCCCGGGACUGGUGUUGAAACUGCCUGGCUGGAGUACAGGAGGGGCAGGCGGAAUUCCUGGUGUAGCGGUGAAAUGCGUAGAUAUCAGGAGGAACACCGGUGGCGAAGGCGGCCUGCUGGACUGAAACUGACGUUGAGGCCCGAAAGCGUGGGGAGCAAACAGGAUUAGAUACCCGAGUAGUC
rnacentral:rRNA from 1 species